UAGCCGUAAACGAUACUCGCUAGGUGUCGGCCACGGUGCGACCGUUGUCGGUGCCGUAGGGAAGCCGUGAAGCGAGCCACCUGGGAAGUACGGCCGCAAGGCUGAAACUUAAAGGAAUUGGCGGGGGAGCACAACAACGGGUGGAGCUUGCGGUUUAAUUGGAUUCAACGCCGGAAAUCUUACCGGGACCGACAGCAACAUGAAGGCCAAGCUGAAGACUUUGCUUGACAAGCUGAGAGGUGGUGCAUGGCGUGUGACUGU
rnacentral:rRNA from 1 species